rnacentral:rRNA from 1 species
AGGACGAACGCUGGCGGCGUGCUUAACACAUGCAAGUCGAGCGGUAAGGCCCUUCGGGGUACACGAGCGGCGAACGGGUGAGUAACACGUGGGUGAUCUGCCUCGCACUCUGGGAUAAGCCUGGGAAACUGGGUCUAAUACUGGAUACGACCAGGGACUGCAUGGUUUCUGGUGGAAAGGUUUACUGGUGCGAGAUGGGCCCGCGGCCUAUCAGCUUGUUGGUGGGGUAAUGGCCUACCAAGGCGACGACGGGUAGCCGACCUGAGAGGGUGACCGGCCACACUGGGACUGAGACACGGCCCAGACUCCUACGGGAGGCAGCAGUGGGGAAUAUUGCACAAUGGGCGAAAGCCUGAUGCAGCGACGCCGCGUGAGGGAUGACGGCCUUCGGGUUGUAAACCUCUUUCGACAGGGACGAAGCGCAAGUGACGGUACCUGUAGAAGAAGCACCGGCUAACUACGCGCCAGCAGCCGC